CGGUAAAUGGCGUUAUCGGUUAGCGCGUUCGGUUGUUAACGGAAAGGUUGGUGGUUCAAGCCCACCCAUCAACGG